UCAGCGCCUCACGACCCAUCCUAUCCCUAUUCCUACGUGCUCUCCAACCCCAGGCCCGACCUCCGCGGUGACUUCGACAUCGACCAGCCGCCCAUCGCGCAAAUGCCCUAUGCCUCCCCCGCCUGCUCAACGCUCCAAGAGCUCGGCCGCCGCCGCCACGAACGCCGACAAGUAUAGUGCGCCGUGCACCGUGGCCGUGCCCUUGAUCUCCUCGAUCUGGUCACGCGUUAGCGUGAAGGACGCGAUCAACGGAGACGGGGAUGGAGGCCCCUGCGCUGUCACUACACCGACGCCUCGAAGAUUGGUGUGCAGUUGGCUGGGUGGGCGCGGGAGGUCCCAUCGGCGGCAAGCGACGCGCGCGCCGGCAGUGCGGCGGCCUGGUCCGAGUAGAGGCGUAGGCGGGCGAGCGCCUUCUUGUGAAGGAGUGGAUCGCUGGAGAACGCCUGCUCUGUUCUUCAAUCACGUUCUGGUGAAGGAAUCGAUCGCCAAGAACGAAGUGCUCUGUUCUUUAAUCUUGUACCUAAUUCUGAAGUUUGCUUUCUUCAAUCUUGUACGUAAUUCUAAAGUUUGAUUUUCUCCUGCUAUCUUCCCCAUUAACCGCUCAUUGGAAUUGAUGGAAUUAGGAACAUCAUAUUGCUUUCAAGUUGAUCAACCUCUGCCCUUUACUCAUGGAAGAAGCAACUGAAUGAGGACAACCUGCUCUCUUUCUCAAUCUGGUGCCUAAGUCUGAAUUUUCCCUUUCUCAUGCCAUCUUCCCAUGAAUAGGUCACUAGAACUGAUAGAAUUUUGAAGGCUGCUUUCAACUUGAUCAAACUUUCCCCUUUAUAGAAGGAAGAAUCAGCCAGUUGUAUUUUAUAUAUUGAGAUGGAAGAAGAGUCUAACACAUAGCACCACUUUUUAAUUUCAUUCUGUAUACUAGAUGGAUUUAGCUGUCCCAAGUAUUCCCACUUCUUGCUUAUUUUCAUGAGGUCUCACAAUUUUUAGUAAGAAUCAUAUUUUUUCUCUUAUCAUGAAAUAUGGCACUUGCACAAGUUUUUUUGCUCAUGAUUACUUUUCUAUUACAGAGGUUUAUUGUCCGGUUUGGUACCUCAUGUUGGCAUGGAAUUUAAAAUUUCAAACGAAGCUUGGGCAUUUUGAUUUAGCUAUAUGCAUGCCCCUGGUUUAAAGGGCUUUGGAGUCCGGAAAAGAUACACAGACAAGAGGUCCGCCGAUGGCAAGGUUACGUCAUGCCGAUUUAUUUGUGCAAGCAAAUGGAAUGUUUAAUCUCUUUUGCCAAACAAAAUUCAGUUAUCAAGUCUAAAAAUGUCUAAGUAGCAAGUGGAAUGCUACAGCGACAUGGCCUAAUUCAGUUAACAAGUUUGAAAGCUACAUUCAGUUAUCAGCUGAUCGGCCUGCAGUGGUGCGACAACUACGGCGUGGCUCAGCCGACCACCACCAUGGAGAUGGUUUUCAUUGCGAGUGAAUGCUUCUGCCGUCGUCGGAUGGCUUACGAACGGGGGAUACACACAUCACGUCCCUCUGCAGUAGGCUGAGCUACCUUGGAGGAUCUCGAUCCGUAUAUAGGUGAGAGAGCUUUGAGAUUGCUAUACAGCUGUAUAGAUUAGUCCAUUCAGCAAAAAAAUUGGAUCCCUUAUGAAGAUACCUUUGUUGCUUUGGACCUUGCCAUGGAACGAGUGACACUAAAUGACCACAAAUGGACUACAUUGGCCAGGACCUUCAAGUUAUGAGUAAGCGUGGUUCCACCUUUAGUGGUUUGUGCAUCCGAUUUGUCUGUUAGGGAGACUUCUGUGACUGGUUUCACGUGUACCUCAGAGUGCUUGGUACAGCUGCAGGGGCGAGGAUGUCAUAUUGACGCAUCUUGAUGGUUUGUUUCUGUAUGAACUAGCAAUAUUUUGUUUCUUAGAUGCACAAACUUGUAUCUCAGAAUUAUGAUAAAAUUAUGUCAUUUGAUUAGCUCAUGUGUAAACUACUAAUUUCCAUUGCCUCUAUACACACACCUGCA